rnacentral:rRNA from 1 species
CCUACGGGGGGCUGCAGUGGGGAAUAUUGCACAAUGGGCGCAAGCCUGAUGCAGCCAUGCCGUGUGUGUGAAGAAGGCCUUCGGGUUGUAAAGCACUUUCAGCGGGGAGGAAGGCGGUGAGGUUAAUAACCUCAUCGAUUGACGUUACCCGCAGAAGAAGCACCGGCUAACUCCGUGCCAGCAGCCGCGGUAAUACGGAGGGUGCAAGCGUUAAUCGGAAUUACUGGGCGUAAAGCGCACGCAGGCGGUCUGUCAAGUCGGAUGUGAAAUCCCCGGGCUCAACCUGGGAACUGCAUUCGAAACUGGCAGGCUAGAGUCUUGUAGAGGGGGGUAGAAUUCCAGGUGUAGCGGGGAAAUGCGUAGAGAUCUGGAGGAAUACCGGUGGCGAAGGCGGCCCCCUGGACAAAGACUGACGCUCAGGUGCGAAAGCGUGGGGAGCAAACAGGAUUAGAUACCCGUGUAGUC